rnacentral:rRNA from 1 species
AACGAACGCUGGCGGCAGGCCUAACACAUGCAAGUCGAACGAAGUCUUCGGACUUAGUGGCGGACGGGUGAGUAACACGUGGGAACGUGCCUUUAGGUUCGGAAUAACUCAGGGAAACUUGUGCUAAUACCGAAUGUGCCCUUCGGGGGAAAGAUUUAUCGCCUUUAGAGCGGCCCGCGUCUGAUUAGCUAGUUGGUGAGGUAAAGGUUCACCAAGGCGACGAUCAGUAGCUGGUCUGAGAGGAUGAUCAGCCACAUUGGGACUGAGACACGGCACAAACUCCUACGGGAGGCAGCAGUGGGGAAUCUUGCGCAAUGGGCGAAAGCCUGACGCAGCCAUGCCGCGUGAAUGAUGAAGGUCUUAGGAUUGUAAAAUUCUUUCACCGGGGACGAUAAUGACGGUACCCGGAGAAGAAGCCCCGGCUAACUUCGUGCCAGCCGCCGCAGUAAAAC